rnacentral:misc_RNA from 1 species
AAAGUCGUAACAAGGUAACCGUAGGUGAACCUGCGGUUGGAUCAUUAACAAAUGAUUUGGUUUUAUACCAAAACACUGUGUGCAUUUAUAUCUGUCUCUGGUGGUCUGGUGUUUUUUUCUGUCCGGUGCUGAGAAUGUCAAUUUUUGAUGUUCGUGCAGGUACGGGUGAAAAUGGCAGAAAAUCAUCACCCACCGAACUGUAAACAAACUUUUGUAUUUUUUUUUAAGUCUGAAUCAUUCACUUUUGUGCAAUGAAAAAACAACUUUUGACAACGGAUCUCUUGGCUCUC